rnacentral:lncRNA from 1 species
CAACAAUUCCUUCAUGUAAACAGUGUAUAAAUGUAAUAGUGUAUGAAUAUAGCAGUGUUUCUGCCUCAGUUACUGUGUACUAAAUACAUAUUGAUCUUUUUUGCUUUUGUUGUUGCUCUGUGAAUCCUAUUUCAGACUAUGUGUUUUCUUUUUUGGAAAUAGGAGGAUAAAUUAGAUUCAUUUAAUGUAUUAGCCUGACUAUCACUUACGGGUCUUCGCAGCUUUCAUGACAACACCACAGGCUUCUCUUCAGACAUAGCCAAUAACUGAGAGGGUAAGAUCUUCUGAAUGGGCAACAUUUUUAAUGUCUGAAAGAUUUCUGAAAGCAAUUAAAACCUCACAAAACAAAAAAAUUUCCACAGGAAAAGCAUUCUGAAACUUAAUAUUUCCAGCAAUAAUAAGAAAUAUGUUCAGAAGUACACUAUUGAUUGUCAGCAAAAUAGAAUUUUGUAACACUACCAGGGAGAACAAAGGUAAAGAUCACCAAAGACAACUUUAGACCUUUAUUGGCUUGUACAUGGUACCAGAAGAAUCUACAUUAACAUGGUUUGCUAAUUAGCAUUUUUUUUUUUUUUUUUUUUUUUAAAGACAGAGUCUCUGUCACCCAGGCUGGAGUGCAGUGGUAAGAUCUUGGCUCACAGAACCACAAGAGAGAAUCCUGGGAUUCUGUAUUUAAGUCAUACAUCCGUGUCUGCAUUCAGAACGCAUCUCCCAGCAAGUAAAAGGGCUCUGGUAGAGACUGAGCAGCUGAACCCAGCACAUCAAGUGACCAUGUGACCACAACUGCCCAUCUUGCACUGUAUAUAUGUUAUUUUCACAAGCUCCAAAGUCAAGAAGGCCUAGCAACAAUGCAUUUUAAGAAGAAAGCAAUAUAUAUGGGAUCAGGCACAAAGAAUCUUG